rnacentral:misc_RNA from 1 species
GUGGUGGUGGUGGUAGUGGUGGGGUGUCUUGGAUGGUGGCUAUGGCGUUUUGUUUAGGCAUUGCUGGUGUGGGACUUGCUUUUGGCUUUAGAUAUUUGUUUUGAGUUUGUUUUUCUUCUGUCUUCUCUGUUACUGCACUUCAGGGAAAAACAUUUUGUAAAGGUUACAGCCAUAGCCAUAGCCAGGGGGAAAAAGGGCUAUUUAUGAUCGGAUUAAUGUUAUUUUAUAUAUUGAAAAAAAAAAAAUCUAUAGAACUCAAUACAGUAAAUUAUGAAGAUCAAACUCAGUACUUUUCUUUCCCCUAAGUUUUUUCUUCCCUUUCUUAAUCUUGUUUUGGUUGAAUAGUUUGCG